GCCAAUGUGGAAUAGUGGUUUGAGCAUUGGACUACAACUCUGGAGACCAGGGUUCAAUCCCAUGCUCUGCCA